CCCAGGCCAUCUGCAGGGAAAACAAGCUGGGCGUCAAAGCGGGCCGUGUACUCAGCCCAACCUUAGUUCUGACUACCCCAUCCGCCAAAACCAGUAUCACCUCUCCCCUUCCUCGCCACCCCACCCCCGCCCCCACCCCACAGCGGCUCGCUUUCACUGCUUUUGGGUUUUCUUCUCUCCCUCCCUAGUCGACAGCCCCGGCCCAGGUCACGGCAAAGCAUUCAGAGCCGCCCACGGGCCACGCAGGGGGCGGAGAGCCGCUCCCUUCGGCGCCGAAACCUCAGAUCCCCCCUCCCAAGCCCUCCCAGUGGACCCCUCAAUUCGGAACUUUCCAACUCAACCGGAGCGAGGGUCAUAAAGAUUGUUCUUCACCCCUCUUCCUCCCUAGCUCUGAAUUCUUCCUCUUCUCCUAGAGUUGGGGCAGAAAGGACCGAAUCUUUUUCUGCUUCUAGAGUCUAUCCCAGCAACAACAUAUUCAUUCCCCUACACAGAUACGGAUGAAAACCUCAAUCAAAUCAUUUUCUUCUAGCAGAAAAAAGGCGUUUCCCCAACCAGCUUUCAAAAUCAGCUGUAGGGAGAGAGAGAGAGAGAGGAAAAAAAAAAAGACGCUGGCAGCGGCCAGGCCUGUCCCCCAGUGCGAUAUUCUUCUUCCCCAUCCCGGGAAUGGACGGGAGUAAUUUAAGGCUUUCCUUACGUGGCUUACGUGGCCAGCAGCAUCCUCUUCCCUUCUCCCCUUCCCCAAGAAAAGAUGAGUGAGGAUCCCUGCGUUGGAGGAAGAGGGAGUCGAAAGAGGCUUCCACUCUUUGAAAAAGGCAUCCAUGCUUCUCUGUGACACCCCUCUCCCCCCGAAAACAAGCAGAGUCUAAGAUGUGCAUGUACCCACUCAAGCCUCAAGCUCAUAUCUGUAUCCAUAUCCAGGGACAUGAACAAGAACUCAGCCCAGCCAGGAGAAGGCUGGUUAGCAGAGAAAUGGCAACUGAGCCCGGAGCUGGAACUAGAAACUUUCUGUCAAUGUAACAUCUGCGUGGGUGGUGACCCAAUGGUGGUUGGGCUUCGGGUCACGUGACAUCUUCUUUGUAGCUCCGGAAGAGGAUUGCGAAGAAGUUUAGGUUUCGUGGAAGAAACCGAUAACUGAAAAAAAUCAAGAUUUGGGGGGAAUUACCUACAAAGAUGUAAGGUGUGUUAAUUUGGGCGCUUCUUGGAUUCUACCCUGAGGAGGAGGCGCGUGGUGAGAGGAGAGCUCCACCAGCUGCGCGCUCGUGUAUGCCGUCCGCGCCCGCUUGGACGCCGCCGACCCCGGGGGGCUCUUGUCCCCUCCCCCGCCGCCACCGCCCCCGCUGCCACCACUGCCGCCGCCACCGCCACCGCCGCCGCCGCCGCCACCACCACAGCCCUCUGCUGGAUUCGAGGGGGAGGGGUGGGAAGGGGAGAAAAUGAAAUAAAAGAUAAUUACUGAA